rnacentral:rRNA from 1 species
GACGAACGCUGGCGGCGUGCUUAACACAUGCAAGUCGAACGGAAAGGCCCUGCUUUUGUGGGGUGCUCGAGUGGCGAACGGGUGAGUAACACGUGAGUAACCUGCCCUUGACUUUGGGAUAACUUCAGGAAACUGGGGCUAAUACCGGAUAGGAGCUCCUGCUGCAUGGUGGGGGUUGGAAAGUUUCGGCGGUUGGGGAUGGACUCGCGGCUUAUCAGCUUGUUGGUGGGGUAGUGGCUUACCAAGGCUUUGACGGGUAGCCGGCCUGAGAGGGUGACCGGCCACAUUGGGACUGAGAUGCGGCCCAGACUCCUACGGGAGGCAACAGUGGGGAAUAUUGCACAAUGGGCGGAAGCCUGAUGCAGCAACGCCGCGUGCGGGAUGACGGCCUUCGGGUUGUAAACCGCUUUCGCCUGUGACGAAGCGUGAGUGACGGUAAUGGGUAAAGAAGCACCGGCUAACUACGU